UAUGUGAGUGACACGAAUACCUCAGAUCCCCAGUUGUAGAAUCUAGGCCCUGGGGUUAUAGCCAUGAACAACCCUCAGUCCAGCCACAGCUCAAGGAGGUACAAAUGACCCCUCGCUGUCCCUAGUGAAAAAGUCCAGGGUCACUGGCUGUGGGUGUGAACGUAAGAAGGGAGACAAAGGAGGAUAAUGAGGCCAAAUAGCUCUGGCCCACGGCAUCCGUACUGUCAAAGACACCAAACCUCCUAACGCUCUUGCUAGGAGGCAGGAGGUGCGGCUUGGCCAAGAGGCCAGGACUCAAGUAACAGGACAUGGGCUGAGGAUUAGAGAGCUGGCGUCUAAGACUAACGCCUGCCGAAAACUACAGCUCCCAGAGUGCCCCGCGGUCCGCCCCAGCCUCGGCGGUCAUGUGACCGCUGCUCACGUGUCUCCACAGCCGGCCCGGGCUCGAAGCACCGCAGGUAGAGUUUGAGAAAGAAGAAACUGGGGGCAGAGAGGGAAGUGAGGAGAAUCAGAUCCCAGAUCUUUGGGGAGAAGGAGCUGUAAGGAGCAGCUGUCCCUCCACCAAAGCCGGAGGGGUGGAAAGAGCAAGUUGAGGAGAGCCAGAGCCCACAGGCCUCCUAGGAUAACAGCCCCAAACAGGCUGGUGGCACCCUCCAGCUGAAGGUGUUCCCUCAGCUCCCCAGGGCAUGUGGUCGUGAGACAGAACCCACAGACCCUGCAGGAACAGGACUCCCAGGGCCAUGGCCCAGGUCAGCAUCAACAGUGACCUUGGAGAGUGGGGCUUAAGCACAGACUCCGGGGAGCGUGCUCGUCUGCUGCAGAGUCCCUCUGUGGACAUAGCCCCCAAGAGUGAGGGGGAGGCCCCUCCUGGGGGUCUGGGCAGAGGCACCACUUCCACACUUGGAGCCAUCUUCAUCGUUGUCAAUGCCUGCCUGGGCGCAGGGCUGCUCAACUUCCCAGCAGCCUUCAGCACUGCCGGUGGAGUGGCAGCUGGCAUCACGCUGCAGAUGGCCAUGCUGGUUUUCAUCAUCAGUGGCCUCGUCAUCCUGGCCUACUGCUCCCAGGCCAGCAAUGAGAGGACCUACCAGGAGGUGGUAUGGGCUGUGUGUGGCAAGCUGACAGGUGUGCUGUGUGAGGUGGCCAUUGCCACCUACACCUUCGGGACCUGCAUCGCCUUCCUCAUCAUCAUCGGGGACCAGCAGGACAAGAUUAUAGCUGUGAUGGCAAAGGAGCCUGAGGGGGCCGGCGGCAGCCCCUGGUACACAGACCGCAAGUUCACCAUCAGCCUCACUGCCUUCCUCUUCAUCCUGCCCCUUUCCAUCCCCAGGGAGAUCGGCUUCCAGAAAUAUGCCAGCUUCCUGAGCGUCGUGGGCACCUGGUAUGUCACUGCCAUCAUUAUCGUCAAAUACAUCUGGCCUGAUAAAGAGAUGACUCCAGCGGACAUCCUGAACAGGCCAGCUUCCUGGAUAGCCGUGUUCAAUGCCAUGCCCACCAUCUGCUUCGGAUUUCAGUGCCACGUGAGCAGUGUACCCGUCUUCAACAGCAUGCAGCGGCCUGAGGUGAAGACCUGGGGUGGGGUGGUGACAGCCGCCAUGGUCAUAGCCCUCGCUGUCUACAUGGGCACAGCCCUCUUGUCCCUGCCCUCAGGCAUCUGUGGCUUCCUGACCUUUGGAGCUGCUGUGGACCCCGACGUGCUCCUGUCCUACCCGUCGGAGGACAUGGCUGUGGCCGUUGCCCGCGCCUUCAUCAUCCUGAGCGUGCUAACCUCCUACCCCAUCCUGCACUUCUGUGGGCGGGCGGUGGUCGAAGGCCUGUGGCUGCGCUACCAGGGGAUGCCGGUGGAGGAGGACGUGGGGCGGGAGCGGCGGCGGCGAGUGCUGCAGACGCUGGUCUGGUUCCUGCUCACCCUGCUGCUGGCGCUCUUCAUCCCUGACAUCGGCAAGGUCAUCUCAGUCAUUGGAGGGCUGGCCGCCUGCUUCAUCUUCGUCUUCCCAGCUGGUGGGCGAUGGUCAGUUACGGAGUCCUCUUGGUCACCCUGGGAGCCUUCAUCUUCGGCCAGACCACAGCCAACGCCAUUUUUGUGGAUCUCUUGGCAUAACCACUGCCUCCCAGGGAAUUCUUGGCCUUUGCCAUUGGACCCUGGAACCCAUCUUGUAGAGCUUCAGGACCACCCUGAGUCCGGCACCAUUCCCCUCUACUGGUGGGAUGACAUCUGCACAUCCUUUUCCAGGGACAGUUCUGGGGUGAAAUAGGCCCAACAUCCCUGGACAGCUCAAACCCAGCUCCCUUCCUGCCCCUGCAUCCUGGCAGUGCCACGGAUGGUAGGAGGAGGUCUUGUGUCACAGAAGAACCUUUCCCCCUCUUUCACCUCUCAACUUCUCCACGCCUGGAAGCCAUGGGUGAAGAGAGUCGGUAGGUCUCCAAAGGAACAACUCAGCCUGACUUCCCUCUGGAGGAAGAGUGUGGACCAAGGGCUGCCAUCCUCCACAGAGAAGCCUGCCCUGGGUACGGGCUGUGCUCAUUACCCCGGGACUCAGUGCCUGCUCCAGUCUAUCGGCAGCCCAGCCAGCAGUGGCUUCCUCCAGCAAGUUCCAAAGGUAGCACUGAAGUCAUACAGGUGCGCCGAGGCAGGCAGACUGAUGCCUUGUCCACGGCCUCCUGGGCCUGCGGUGAGCCUGAGAGCCCUCUUGCCCAUGGCUGGUUGACAUUUCCCAAGCCUUUUGGGGCCUCACCCUGUCUUCUUACCCAGACCUGAUGGUCCAGGCAUCCCUCUGCAUCUCCAUGCCCAGACAUCACCGAGUCUAAUGUUUACAAACGGUGCCAGCCCAGCUCUGGGCCAGGGGCCGUCCCGUGCCACGGUGCUGAUACAAGUUCUGAUUCAGUAGAUCUGGAGUGGGGCCUGCAGUCUGCAUUGUUAACACUCCCAGCUUCGCCCAUGCUUUGGUCCUCGGACUGAACUUUGAAUAGCAGGGGGACUGGUGGACAGACCAAAGGCUUUGGCUUCGGACAGACCUGGGGUGGAUCUCAGCAGUGCCUCUUUACAGUGGGAACUCAGAAAGUAGUUCACUUCUCCGAACCCCACUCUCCUCAACUAUAAAGUGUGGAGGAAGGCCAGAGACAUUGUAGUCAGGAAGAAGGAAGAAGGCAGACACCCUGUCCUCCGAAUACUUUGUGUUUCCUGCGGGGGCACUGGGGUGGGGAGCGGGGGAGGCAUAGGCACAAGAUGCCUAUUUGGAUAUUCUUCCAUUAAAAAUGAAAUUGAUGUGUUUCCAGUCCAACAUGUAAGAAGCUUGGAAGUGGCCACUCCAUCCUAACAACAAGUAAAAAGUUGAACAAACCGAAAAGUCAACUCUUCUUAGAUAUGUACAAUAAGUCAGAUUAUAAGGCACACCACUGCCCCCAGAAUUGGAGAGAGAGACAGACAAAUACAGAGCAGAAACCCACAAGCAGAAACCUCUGUGGGAGUCAGUGCCAGGGUAAGGAAACCUGAAAUGUAAUUGAUGAAUUGCUGGAGGCUCAGUGUGGACAAAUCUGAGAAAUAAAAACAUCAAGGAAGGGCUUCCCUCGUGGCACAGUGGUUAAGAAUCCACCUGCCAAUGCAGGGGACACGUGUUCAAUCCCUGGUCUGGGAAGAUUCCACAUGCCACGGAGCAACCAAGCCCGUGAGCCACAACUAGUGAGCCUGCGUGCCACAACUACUGAAACCCGUGCGCCUAGAGCCGGUGCUCUGCAACAAGAGAAGCCACCACAGUGAGAAGCCCACACACCGCGAUGAAGAGUAGCUCCUGCUUGCCGCAACUAGAGAAAGCCCGCGUGCAGCAAUGAAGACCCAGUGCAGCCAAAAAAAAACCAAACAAAAAACCCACCAAGGAACCCAGUCCUGUUGGGGGAAGGGAGCAUACUUUGUUACUUUGUGGGUUUUACCUGAAGCUCUACCAGGUUCUCAUAGUAAUAAACAUCAGAAAAAAAUUCCUCAUGUUUCCAGCAGGGGAGGGUAAAAGGAACCAUUCUGAAAUGUGCUAGAGCAUUCUGUUCUUGUUAAUAAGAUAUGCCCUCAGGAGACACUUAAAAUCUAACCAGAG